CUAUGGAGCGGAGUUUAGUGUGUGGUUAUCGUUGCUACUGAGGAAAUAGAUAGGACGAACUAAAAUUGUAUUUUUUUUCGAAGAAUAAUGCAGUUUGUGGAUGAAUUUAAAGGCUUUUGGAGCUGGUGGAGUGGAGUGCUGAAGACUGGAGGUAUUUAUCCCUCGUCUGGUGGAUAAAUUAUGCAGUGAAAUGGUAGAUAAUCAAGUGAAAUAAUUCGUAUCCAACAAUAUUUUUGUGGGAAUACCUCAAAACUUUGAAGCAGUGGAGGGAUUUUCCCGGAAAUUUUGCAGAACUCAUUUUUUCAGACAGAAAACAUUUUUGCUGUAUUUUUCUUUUCAUAUUCAUCGGAAAAUAACGGUGGAGACACCUUUACAAGUUUACUUAAGUUGUUUUGUCACUUCAUAACAGAAUGUUGGCGAAAUAUUCGGUAGGGGGAGUCAAAGGGACAGAUUGAAAUUCAGUUGGAAAUUGUUCAAAAUCAUAAUUGAAUUUUUUGAAUUUUGGAUCAAUUCUCCUUGAGAGUUUUAAUUGGAAUAAAGUCCAUGGAAAUUCCAAGGAAUUUCGCCCUUAGCCAUUCAAAGUUUUACGGGAUAAUCAAUGGAAAGGUGAAUUUUGCAUCGAUUAUUCAAUAAAAAUUAAAUGGAAAUGAGGAAAUCGUUGCAAAAGUGAAAACAGAUAAGAAAAUAAUCACAUCGUAUUUUUUUAAAAGAUGAAAUUGUGUCCCUGGGAUGGACGACGGCAAUUACGCUGGAUCAGGGAGGAGAGGAAUAAGGAGAGAUGGGAAUAGAAUACAUGGACACGGAUCAUAAUUAGAGAUUGCAGGGAGAUAAGCAAUCUACCCGCAUGAUACCCCUCACCAACGCAAUUGAACCCACCUCGAUCUUUCAUCCGGACUGAUCAUUAUAUCGAUGAUUAACGUGAUGGAAUGAUUAAUGAGAUCAAGAAUCCGAUGAGAAAGCCUGGAUAUUUACGAUUCCAUCGACAGCGAGAGAAUAUCCUGAGACGAAUGACCUGGGGAAACAAUGGGAGAGGUACUGUUGAAGUAUCUCGAGCGUAAACUCACUGAGAUAUCUCUCGUCACGGGCCUCUUGUUUCAAAAUACAACAUAAUGUACAACAGAAUGUAACGUCUUGUUACGGAAACAAAAUCAAGGGUCAUUGACAAAAUGAAAAUGUUAAAGUAAUCAGCCCCUGAUUUGCAUGAGAUCGUGAUGGCUUUUGUGGCUUUCAAAUUAAGUGAUUUCGUGAGAUAAAUUUUAACCUGUAUUUGUAAAUAAAAUAAAAUAUUUUAUUUAUCUGUUUCAAUCUUCAAGAUAUUCGAAUAUUCUGAAUUU